CGGGGCAUCCAACUAACCAUUCAUUUGAAUCAUCAAUGUUAUCCAAGCGAAUUGGAUCAAUGAGAUCACGAGCAUCAUAACGACGUUUCAAUGUUCUAUUGUACUUAAUGUACACUAGAUCAUUGAGACGCGAUAGUGCAAGCCUAUUCCUCUUUUUGGAAUGAAUAUACACAUACGUUACAGAUAUUAACUAAUAGAUAUUGAUAAUAAUAUAAUAUGGAAAUUAGGAUAAAAUUUUUUUACUUACGUGUUCACACACACUCUAAUUUUGUUCACAUCCGGAUGAGCUACAAGUUAGGCUUAAUACUUUAAUGACAAACUUUUGCAAGUUUGGUGUUUCACUAUCAAAUAGUGACCACCAUUCCACUAUAAUAAAAUAAAUUUAGAGGCUAAUGAGUGUAAAUAAGUCGAAUAAUUUAAGUAAGAGCUAAAUUAACUCACUUACCCGGUGACCUUGUGACUCUAGCUCUUUUAGCCGGACCACAACCAAAUAGUCCAUUCGCCAUUUUGUACCUAGGAAGCUCAACGACUAGUAAAUCUUGUAUUGUUGUAUCGGAGAUCAGUUACUCAACACAUGCAUAAUACUCGGUCCAUAGACUCUGUAGUAAAGUUCCCUCUUCUUGAGCUUUAUAAUACAAUAAUGGGUUCAAAACACGGCCUGCAGCAUGCAAAGGCCGAUGGAAUUGGUCUAACCACCUUGCAUCUAUAAUUUCAAACACUUUCUCAUAUUGCUUCUUAAUUCCACAAAAACCCCGUUCAAUAGUUUCUUUGGCUCUAUCCAUUGCUUCAUAAAUAUUGCCCAUUUGUGGGUUUUUUUACCCAUCCACCAAACGAAGUACUUUUGUCAAAGGGCCACAAAAUGUAAGUGCUCGAACAACAUCAUCCCAAAAGUGGGCAAAAAUAUUAAGAUUGGCAACAUCUUUCCCGAUAGUUUCCUUUGCAAAUUUACUUGAAGUCCAUUCGGUUGAGAGGACUAAAGUUCUCAAGUUUUUUCUUUAUAUGUACAUAGCUCUCAAAGUUAAGAACGCCGUUGCAAAUCUUGUCUUGGCCGGUUUCACCAAAUUUCUUUCCUUGGUGAAUUUUCUCAUCAAGUUUAAAAACAAUGGCCUUUGACUAAUGUAAGAAUGGAUUAUGAUGGCCUUCUUAAUAACUGUUAAGGUAAGAUUAUAGUAAUUAGUAGCUAAUAAGUAUUAAAUAUUGACUAUAACGAAAGUUAGAGGAUAUGAGAGUGAUAUUAACGGAAGCAUAUGGAUUAACCUUGAAGAUGUCACCAAACAUCAAGUUGAUGCAAUGAGCGGCACAUGGAGACCAAUAAAUGUGUGGGUAUGCACCCAUCAUCAUGCUUCCCGCUUUAUCAUUCUCACUAGCAUUAUCAGUGACAAUUUGUACAACAUUUUCCGGUCCAAUUCUUUAAAUAGCAGUGUUUUGGACGGCGAGAGACGACAAAAGGCGACAAGGGCCUGCCUCGCCACGCGGCGAGGCGAGCGGCGAGGCGAUCGCCUUUUUGAAUCAAGACGCCAAUUAAUACCAAAAAUUAAAAAUAUUUAAUUGCAUAUAUAAAUAUCCAAAAUCUCAAUAGCAAUAACAUAUAUUAGCAAAUAUUUCAAUUCAAAAACAAAAAUUAGAUACUAAAAGUCUAGAACUUUAAAGACCCAAUAAUUCAAAAGAUAAUACUAGAACUCUAAAAGUCUAUUAUUCUUCAAAACUAUCCAACUCUUGAAGAUCAACAUCCUCUACAUCAUUAUAUUGCUCCUCAUCUUCUUCCUCCUAGUAGUCUUCAUCAAUUAGUGUCCGAUUCCACUUGAAGUUGAACUUGUAGAUGAAGUUUCUACCCCUUUGCCCUUGUCAAGUGCUCUUGAUCUUGAAGAAAGUCCCCUAAGAUGAUAGAUACUCUCAUCAGCUCCAAUUGCCGUAGCAACACUACCCCAAGUAAGAUAAUCAUCCUCAUAUAUUAGUCCAUCUUCUUGAUCUUCGGGGUAUCCAACUAACCAUUCAUUUAAAUCAUCAAUGUUAUCUUUAGCGAAUUGGAACAACGAGAUCACGAGCAUCAUAACGACGUUUCAAUGUUCUAUUGUACUUAAUGUACACUAGAUCAUUGAGACGCGAUAGUGCAAGCCUAUUCCUCUUUUUGAAAUGAAUCUUGACAUAAGUUACAGAUAUUAACUAAUAGAUAUUGAUAAUAAUAUAAUAAGGAAAUUAGGAUAUUAAUUUUUUUACUUACGUGUUCAAACACACUCCAGUUUCGCUCAAAUCCGGAUGAGCUACAAGUUAGGCUUAAUACUUUCAUGGCAAACUUUUGCAAGUUUGGUGUUUCACUACCAAAUAGUGACCACCAUUCCACUAUAAUAAAAUAAAUUUAGAGGCUAAUGAGUGUAAAUAAGUCGAAUAAUAUAAGUAAGAGCUAAAUUAACUCACUUACCCGGUGACCUUGGGUCUCUAGCUCUUUUAGCCGGACCACAACCAAAUAGUCCAUUCGCCAUUUUGUACCUAGGAAGCUCAGCGACUAGUAAAUCUUGUUUUGUUGUAUCUGGGAUCAUCUUCACAACACAUGCUUAAUACUCGGUCCACAGACUCUGUAGUAAAGUUCCCUCUUCUUGAGCUUUAUAAUACAAUCCUGGGUUCCAAACAUGGCCUGUAGCAUGCAAAGGCCGAUGGAGUUGGUCUGACCACCUUGCAUCAAUAAUUUCAAACACUUUCUCAUAGUGCUUCUUAAUUCCACGAAAACCCCGUUCAAUAGUUUCUUUGGCUCUAUCCAUUGCUUCAUAAAUAUAGCCCAUUGGUGGUUUUUUCUCCCCAUCCACCAAACGAAGCACUUUUGUCAAAGGGCCAUAAACUAUAAGUGCUCGAACAACAUCAUCCCAAAAGUGGGCAGAAAUAAUAAGAAAAGCAACAUCUUUCCCGAAAGUUUCCUUGGCAAAUUUACUUGAAGUCCAUUCGGUUGAGAGGACUAAAGUUCUCAAGUUUUUUCUUUGUAUGUACAUAAGAUUAUAGUAAUUAGUAGCUAAAAAGUAUUAAAUAUUGACUAUAAAGAAAGUCAGAGGAUAUGAGAGUGAUAUUACCGGAAGCAUAUGGCUUAACCUUGAAUAUGUCACCAAACAUCAAGUUGAUGCAAUGAGCGGCACAUGGAGUCCAAUAAAUGUGUGGGUAUGCACCCAUCAUCACGCUUCCCGCUUUAACAUUCUCACUAGCAUUAUCAGUGACAAUUUGUACAACAUUUUCCUGUCCAAUUCUUUCAAUAUCAGUGUUUUGGACGGCGAGAGGCGACAAAAGGCGACAAGGACAUUCCUCGCCAUGGGGCGAGGCGAGCGGCGAGGCUAUCGCCAUUUUGAAUCAAGGCGCCAAUAAAUACCAAAAAUUAGAAAUAUUUAAUUGCAUAUAUAAAUAUCCAAAAUUUCAAUAGCAAUAACAUAUAUUAGCAAAUAUUUCAAUUCAAAAAUAAAAAGUAGAUACUAAAGGUCUAGAACUUUAAACACCCAAUAAUUCAAAAGAUAAUACUAGAACUCUAAAAGUCUAUUCUUCUUCAAAACUAUCCAAUCUUGAAGAUCAACAUCCUCUACAUCAUUAUAUUGCUCCUCAUCUUCUUCCUCUUAGUAGUCUUCAUCAAUUAGUGUCCGCGUCCUACUUGAAGUUGAACUUGUAGAUGAAGUUUCUACUCCUUUGCCCUUGUCAAGUGCUUUUGAUCUUGAAGAAAGUCCCCCUAAGAUGAUAGAUACUCUCAUCAGCUCCAAUUGCCGUAGCAACACUACCCCAAGUAAGAUAAUCAUCCUCAUAUACCUAGUUCAUCUUCUUGAUCUUCGGGGCAUCCAACUAACCAUUCAUUUGAAUCAUCAAUGUUAUCCAAGCGAAUUGGAUCAAUGAGAUCACGAGCAUCAUAACGACGUUUCAAUGUUCUAUUGUACUUAAUGUACACUAGAUCAUUAAGACGCGAUAGUGCAAGCCUAUUCAUCUUUUUGGAAUGAAUAUACACAUACGUUACAGAUAUUAACUAAUAGAUAUUGAUAAUAAUAUAAUAUGGAAAUUAGGAUAUAAUUUUCUUACUUACGUGUUCAAACACACUCCAAUUUCGCUCACAUCCGGAUGAGCUACAAGUUAGGGUUAAUACUUUCAUGGCAAACUUUUGCAAGUUUGGUGUUUCAAUACCAAAUAGUGACCACCAUUCCACUAUAAUAAAAUCAAUUUAGAGGCUAAUGAGUGUAAAUAAGUCGAAUAAUGUAAGUAAGAGCUAAAUCAGCUCACUUACCCGGUGACCUUGUGUCUCUAGCCCUUUUAGCCGGACCACAACCAAAUAGUUCAUUCGCCAUUUUGUACCUAGGAAACUCAGCGACUAGUAAAUCUUGUAUUGUUGUAUCGGGGAUCAUCUUCUCAACACAUGCAUAAUACUCGGUCCACAGACUCUGUAGUAAAGUUCCCUCCUCUUGAGCUUUAUAAUACAAUCAUGGGUUCAAAACAUGGCCCGCAGCAUGCAAAGGCCGAUGGAGUUGGUCUGACCACCUUGCAUCAUAAUUUCAAACACUUUCUCAUAUUGCUUCUUAAUUCCACCAAAACCCCGUUCAAUAGUUUCUUUGGCUCUAUCCAUUGCUUCAUAAAUGUAACCCAUUGGUGGUGUUUUUUCCCCAUCCACUAAACGAAGCACUUUUGUCAAAGGGCCACAAACUGUAAGUGCUCGAACAACAUCAUUCCAAAAGUAGGCAGAAAUAAUAAAAUUGGCAAAAUCUUUACCCAAAGUUUCCUUGGCAAAUUUACUUGAAGUCCAUUCGGUUGAGAGGAAUAAAGUUCUCAAGUUUUUUCUUUGUAUGUACAUAGCUCUCAAAGUUAAGAACGCCGUUGCAAAUCUCGUCUUGGCCGAUUUCACCAAAUUUCUUUCCUUGGUGAAUUUUCUCAUCAAGUUUAAUAAAAAUGGCCUUUGACUAAUGUAAGAAUGGAUUCUGAUGCCCUUCUUAAAAAGAAUUAAGGUAAGAUUAUAGUAGUUAGUAGCUAAUAAGUAUUACAUAUUGACUAUAAAGAAAGUUAGAGGAUAUGAGAGUGAUAUUACCGGAAGCAUAUGGUUUAACCUUGAAUAUGUCACCAAACAUCAAGUUGAUGCAAUGAGCGGCACAUGGAAUCCAAUAAAUGUAUGGGUAUGCACACAUCAUCAUGCUUCCCGCUUUAACAUUCUCACUUGCAUUAUCAGUGACAAUUUGUACAACAUUUUCCGGUUCAAUUCUUCAAAUAUCAGUGUUUUGGACGGCGAGAGGCGACGAGGGCCUGCCUCGCCACGCGGCUAGGCGAUCUCCUUUUUUAAUCAAGACGCCAAUUAAUACCAAAAAUUAAAAAUAUUUAAUUGCAUAUAUAAAUAUCCAAAAUCCCAAUAGCAAUAAUAUAUAUUAGCAAAUAUUUCAAUUCAAAAACAAAAAUUAGAUACUAAAAGUCUAGAACUUUAAAGACCCAAUAAUUCAAAAGAUAAUACUAGAACUCUAAAAGUCUAUUAUUCUUCAAAACUAUCCAACUCUUGAAGAUCAACAUCCUCUACAUCAUUAUAUUGCUCCUCAUCUUCUUCCUCCUAGUAGUCUUCAUCAAUUAGUGUCCGAGUCCUACUUGAGGUUGAACUUCUAGAUGAAGUUUCUACUCCUUUGCCCUUGUUAAGUGCUCUUGAUUAUGAAGAAAGUCCCCUGAGAUAUAGAUACUCUCAUCAGCUCCAAUUGCCGUAGCAACACUACCCAAGUAAGAUAAUACUAUCCUCAUAUACUAGUUCAUCUUAUGAUCUUCGGGGCAUCCAACUAACCAUUCAUUUGAAUCAUCAGUGUUAUCCGAGCGAAUUAGAUCAACGAGAUCACGAGCAUCAUAACGACGUUUCAAUGUUCUAUUGUACUUAAUGUACACUAGAUCAUUGAGACGCGAUAGUGCAAAGCCUAUUCCUCUUUUUGAAAUGAAUCUACACAUAAGUUACAGAUAUUAACUAAUAGAUAUUGAUAAUAAUAUAAUAUGGAAAUUAGGAUAUAAUUUUUUUACUUACGUGUUCAAACACACUCCAAUUUCGCUCACAUCCGGAUGAGCUACAAGUUAGGCUUAAUACUUUCAUGGCAAACUUUUGCAAGUUUGGUGUUUCACUACCAAAUAGUGACCACCAUUCC
rnacentral:lncRNA from 1 species